rnacentral:tmRNA from 1 species
GGGGCUGCCCGGUUUCGACAGGGAGCGAGGGUCUAUAGAUGCAAGCCGAGGCGCUUUACCCUCGUAAAAAUGAAGCAAGCCAAUAACUGGCAAAACUACUACACAGAAAGCCCCUGCGGCUUUCGCUUUCGCUGCUUAAUUAGUUAAACAGCCGUUCCGACAGAUCCGGGUCCCGUGGAGCUGGUAGGGGCGUUGCAAAAACGGGAUGCGUUCAGGCAAGAGUUGGGUAACCUGAUCAAAGACCACACAAUUUGAACGAGGAACCUUUGUCGGCUUAGUUUCUUAGUUCGAGAUUAGAAGUCAACCAAGCUUGUGGAUGAGUCUGUAGGUUUGACCUUUUUGGACGGGGGUUCAACUCCCCCCAGCUCCAUCU